AUGAGGUUGCCGGGAGAUGGUUGAAAUGAUUACGUGGGGAGAGCCGCGGAGGGGACAGUCUCCGUGCACAUGAAACGCUGUCACUGCGUUUUCCGCAUCGCUCUUUCAUCGUAUGCAAGCGCCUUUCUCAGAUAACCCGGGCGAUAGUGACGGCCGGGCAGCAGUGAUAGGAGGUGAGCUAACGUCACAGCUACACUGACUGGAUGUACAGCACUCUGCUCGGAUAUAUCGCAAGCUGCCGUCAAGCUGGCAUCUUUCAUUAUCCUGCACGUCUGUUUCCCUCUCGGCGUAUCAGGACGUUUCCAAGAGCGUCGUCGGUAAAACGGCAUCUGGUCCACCGUGCGGCGUUGUCCAUUGCGUUGAAGACGUUUGUUUUGUGCAACACCCAACUUGUCAGAGAACAGUUCGCCAUCACAGAACUCUAUUAGGGAGACCAUCUGGACCUUCCACGGCAUAUCCUUUAUGAAUAUGGGAAAUUGAGCCUAUCAUUGUGGCGUCUGCAGAAGAAGUAGCUUAUGAACCAUAACUCAGAAUCGCGACAUCAUUUACCCAUUAUGAAAGACUCUCGUUUCGAAUUUCUGAUGGAUUGUAAACAUCAUUAGAUGUUUCGAGCAGUGCAAACUGUGUAUUUUGAUUACAGUUGG